rnacentral:lncRNA from 12 species
GUUGCUCAUGAGGGAAGAGGCUGUGUCUUAUUGCACUUUCUGCACCUGUCACAGAGCAUUGACAUUGUACCUGUCACCGUGCUAAAACACUUUAUGAGCUCUCCGUCUAUUAACUCCUUUAAUGCACAUGGCGACCCUGAGGGUAGGCACUAGUGUUAUCCCCAUGUCACGGGUGAGCAAAUUGAGGUCAAAUAGUGACAUAAGUCACCAAGCGAGGAAAUAGCAGGGCUAGCACCAGGGUUCGAACAGCUCGGCCAGCCUGGCUUCAGAAUUCAGGUGCUGACGCCUGUGCCAGGGGAGGCCCUGGGGCUUGAGGCCUGAGCCAGCCGUCGGCAGCGGUUAGCAUCCCAGCUUUGCCACGUGCCAGCUGUGUGAUCCUGGACAAAUGACUCAACCUCUCUGAGAUCGGUUCCCUCCUCGGUGAAAUGAAGAAUGAAGAGGAAAAUAAAGACGACUUCUCCAGGAGUGAAUGGGGCAUAUCAAGCGCUCAGCAUGGUGCCGGACUCGUAGCAACCGUGCCACCGAUGAUGGUAAGUGGUGACCAUGGGGACCGCGAGUGAGGUGGUAAAUGGUAACCAUGGUGAUGGUGCUCCGAGUAAAAGCUCCAUUUAAUGCUUGCUGACUCAGUGAACAAUGCAGGAGGGAAAGGGGGUUAUUACCAGUUUCUGGAAGAGUCCAGACAUGAUAAAUUUGGUGUCAGAGGGAGAGCAAACUGCAGCCCGCAGGUCAGCGACUAUCAGUCCGGAGACCAGAGAGGAGAGAGUGGGAUAGAAAUGAUUUGCAGUGAUUCUGAAAAACAACAACAACAACAACAACAAACCAAAAACCCCACAACACACUGGUUUAGCCUACUGGUCAAGACUAGAGCUGCUGAUACCCGUGUCCAUAGCAGCAUUAUUCACAACAGCCAAAAGGUGGAAACAACCCAAGUAUCCAUCAACAGAUGAGGGGAUAAACAAAAUGUGGGGUGUGCAUACAACGGAAUAUUACUCAGCCACCAGAAGAAAUGAAAUUGUGAUAAAUGCUACAAAAUGGGUGGACCUUGGAAAUGUUACACUGAGUGAAAUAAACCAGAUACAGAAGGACA